CACCCACAGACAUACACAGCACCAACACACAUACAGCACCCACACACACAUACAGCACCCUCACAAACACACACAGCACCCUCACACACAGCACACAAACAGCACCCUCACACACACACAGCACACUAACAGUACCCUCACAAACACAAACAGGACAUUAACAAACACACACACAGCACACUACCAGUACCCUCACACACAAACAGCACCCUCACAAGCGCACACACACACACACAAACAGCACCCUCACACACAGUACAUUAACAGCAUCCUCACAAGCACGCACACACAAACACCCUCACCCACAUAGCACACUACCAGCACC